rnacentral:lncRNA from 1 species
UAUAAUGCACGGAUUCGCCGGAAAUCACCCCCGUGCAGUAUCCGAUUCGCGCGGGGGGCGGGUGCGGGCGCGAUUCGCGUCCGAUUCGCACGGGAUUCGCCAGGUGGCGAAUCCCCCCAAAAAUCAAAAAAAAAAAAAAUCGGAUUCACGAAUCGGAUUCGCGAAUCGGGAGUUGUUGGCGACCUCCCCUGAUUUUGAGAGACGAGGGUAGAACGGCGACUAACAGUCGCCGGAUUUGCAGGACGCGGCGGCAUCAAACGGAGGCGGAGGCGGAUUCGAUUUCAGGAAAUUCAGGGCUCCUUUCGAUUUUAGAUUUGGGAUAGAGGAAGUCUGAAAUUGAGAGAUAAGAGAGACAGAGGUGUGAGACGGAGAGAAGGGGAAGACGACGGCGCAACGAG